GACGAACGCUGGCGGCGCGCUUAACACAUGCAAGUCGAGCGAUGAAACUUUGACAGAUCCCUUCGGGGUGAAGAUAAAGUGGAUUAGCGGCGGACGGGUGAGUAACACGUGAGUAACCUGCCUCGGACAUUGGGAUAGCCUCGGGAAACCGGGAUUAAUACCAAAUGAAAUCAAAGAUACACAUGUAUCAAUGAUCAAAACUCCGGUGGUCUGAGAUGGACUCGCGUCCCAUUAGCUAGUUGGUAAGGUAACGGCUUACCAAGGCGACGAUGGGUAGCCGGCCUGAGAGGGUGAACGGCCACAUUGGAACUGAGAAACGGUCCAAACUCCUACGGGAGGCAGCAGUGGGGAAUAUUGCACAAUGGAGGAAACUCUGAUGCAGCGACGCCGCGUGAACGAAGAAGGCUUUCGAGUCGUAAAGUUCUUUUAUAUGGGAAGAUAAUGACGGUACCAUAAGAAAAAGCCCCGGCUAACUACGUGCCAGCAGCCGCGGUAAUACGUAGGGGGCUAGCGUUGUCCGGAAUCACUGGGCGUAAAGGGUUCGCAGGCGGAAAUGCAAGUCAGAUGUAAAAGGCAGUAGCUUAACUACUGUAAGCAUUUGAAACUGCAUAUCUUGAGAAGAGUAGAGGUAAGUGGAAUUUUUAGUGUAGCGGUGAAAUGCGUAGAUAUUAAAAAGAAUACCGGUGGCGAAGGCGGCUUACUGGGCUCAUUCUGACGCUGAGGAACGAAAGCGUGGGUAGCAAACAGG
rnacentral:rRNA from 1 species